rnacentral:sRNA from 1 species
UUCAAAAUAACCAAAAACC